rnacentral:rRNA from 1 species
CCUACGGGUGGCAGCAGUGAGGAAUAUUGGUCAAUGGCCGAGAGGCUGAACCAGCCAAGUCGCGUGAGGGAAGAAUGUCCUAUGGAUUGUAAACCUCUUUUGUCAGGGAGCAAAGUCCCCCACGUGUGGGUGUUUGAGAGUACCUGAAGAAAAAGCCUCGGCUAACUCCGUGCCAGCAGCCGCGGUAAUACGGAGGAUGCGAGCGUUAUCCGGAUUUAUUGGGUUUAAAGGGUGCGAGGGCGGGAUAUCAAGUAAGCGGUAAAAUCGUGGGGCUCAACUCCAUACAGCCGUUGAAACUGAUGGUCUGGAGUGGGGGAGAGGUAUGCGGAAUGCGUGGUGUAGCGGUGAAAUGCGUAGAUAUCACGCAGAACUCCGAUUGCGAAGGCAGCAUACCGGAGCGCAACUGACGCUGAGGCACGAAAGCGUGGGGAGCGAACAGGAUUAGAUACCCUUGUAGUC